AGCCGGAGAAGCUGCUCUCACGCACUGGUGGAAGGAGAGGCCGCGCUCCCGGCUCAGCACGGUGUCUCGGGUGCUGCAGCCAACUGCCGAGCAACUUCGGGUCAUCUUCUUGCUACGUGGGGCUCCACUUUGGGUGUUCCCGCGGCAGCAUUAAUCGUGAUAAAUUUAGCUCCGCCCGUAGAUUCGGCGGCUACGACCUUUAUUUGUCGGAGAAGGCGGGCUCGUAACGCGCAAGACUCCAACCCUUCCUCUUCGUGGGUGCUGCGCUUGACGCCGUGACCAAUCACCGGCCACGUCGCGUCGCCGCAGCCAAUCAGAAGAGCCUAGGGCAUUAAGACGAGCACUUGACGGCUCCUCCCUCUCUGUUCCAGGGUGGUUGGUGGAUUUAGUUGUUUACGGGCUCAUUUUGCUAUUGCUUCGACCGCUCCGGUUACAUCCGUUGCCAUCGCGGUUCUUGUGAGGCAGGGCCUGAGAAUGCGAAGCGGAGAGGCAGAAAUAACGCUGAGAUCCCUGAUGUGGAGCUGUUGGAAUGGUUGGUCUUACAUACGUGACCCCGCAGGAGCUUGAAUGAGAGUGUUAGUAUGAGGAUACGUCGACUUAAUUCAACGGACCCUUUUCUACAAGACCGUUUGUCACUAUGGGGGAAUUAAGGAAACAAGGAAUUACAUUCUUGGAGAUGUUGGAAAAAGAUUCCCGGGACUUCAAAAGUAAUCACUCCAAAUAUACAGGGGAGCGGGAGGAGGGCAAAGCAGAGAGACUCUCACUUGGCAAGCCUAGGUUUCUUGAUGACUGUUGGCUGAGACUUUAGUGCUUUACCAUGAGAACCUCUCCUGAGGCUGCCUGAGAAUUCCCACAACAUGACAACUGUCUUUCCUCAAGGAAUGAGCCAAGAAAGAAAUGCCAAGUCAACAUGAAUGAAACUGAAGGGUGUUUUUGUCAGAUUUAUCUGAUAAGGAAUUUGAACAUUUAUAUAGUAAGAUAUAGGUAGUCCUUACUUUGUACCAUGCCAUUAUACAUGAAGAUUAGUUUUCACACUUUAAAUAACACCAGUCCUCCUAUAACACAGUUGAAAUUUAGGUUAGAAUAGUAAGCUUUGUUGGCUAGCUCUUUAUUCUGCAACUGAUUAUGCAUUCUGAAAGAUGUGCAUCAUGGUCAGUAACCAGUUACAUCACAUGUUUCAAAGUCUCUUGGUGAUUGAUUACUAAACAUCUGUUCACAGUGCAAAGCAUGUAGUUGUGUUGCUUGCUUCUCAGUGGUAAACCUCUGUGACAUUUUACGAAACUGGAUAAUCAGAAGAGGGAAAUGGCAGGGCAGCAAAGAAACAAUGGAACUGGAAGUGAAAUUGGAUUUGAAAAUGGCGACAGUAUAGCAGAGACGAGACCCAGGCCUACAUAAAGCUACAGUAUAAAUCACAUUUUAAAAGUUUGAUGAAUAUAAAAAGCAAAGUAAAGUUGCUUCAACUUCUUUUAGUUUAAAUUACACUAGGAACAGAAAGCCACUUAUGGUCGAAAUGGAGUGCUUGCUUCUACUUUGGAUGGAGGACUGUAGUAACAAAUCCUAAUCAGUUUGGCUAGCAUUCAGGUCAGAGUGUUUAGGUUAGUUGCUGCAUUGAAGGAAAAUGGUAAUUACAAGGAGAAUAAAAGAACAUUUUUUGCCAGUAAAGUCUGGCUUCAUCAUAGAGAAGUCAAGAGUGCCUGUGUACCUUGGUUAAGCAUCAUUCGGAAGUCGGCGUAAAUGGAUUAAUGUUCCACUGUCUGGUGAAGCUGCACCUUCAGAUAAGGAUGCUACUGGGAAAUCUGCACCUAUAUUCCAAGAAUCCCAGGCAGUGCUUGGUCUGCACAGUAGCAUGAGAGUACUGUGCAGAAGCUUCACAGGAUUUGGCUGGAAUGUAAACGGAAUUCUAGAAGAUACAGACAACUGUGGGAAUGUUGACACUGCUGCCAUUCAGAAAGUAGUUCUGGAUAAACAGAAGGAUGAAAGCAGUUGUGUGUUGUACAGGAUGAAUACAUUUCAGAGGAAAUGAUUCAGGUGAAAAACCACAUUAAAGGAACUCUCAGAUGUUGCAUGACAUUGCACAACGAAUAAAACUAGAAGCAGAUCCAAACUCAGAAAGGAGGAUGACAUUUUGCCACGGCAUAGAAAAGAUGCUUGCUCCCUGUAUUGUAAGUUAUAUGAGAAAACAAGCACUGUUCAAACUACUCUUGAGACUUGUUUAUAAAGAAAUAAAACACUAUAACUUUCAAUAUUUC